rnacentral:lncRNA from 1 species
ACCUCGGUACUAGAGUCAAAAUAUUUGAUUCCAUAGAAUGAUAGAAAUAUCGAUGGAUUAUAGGUGGAAGGAAUAAAAUAUUCCUUCAUCUACCUAGGUGGUUCUUAGAAUUUCUAGCCAUUUGAUUAUCAUAUUUAGUAUGGAUCAGUCGUUUAAUUUCAGGAUUAGGUUCAACUAGGUCAGAAAAAAUUAUACCGUGCAUGUAUUAGUGCAAACCCUAAUAUGUGUGUUGUUAAGAUUUUUUUUUAAGGAGGAGAAAAAGAAGAGAAAAGAAAGAAAGAGAAAAGUUCUAAAGGUGAGAUCCUUAAGAAAAGUCUUAGACCUAAAGACAUAAGAUGAGAAGAAUUAGUUGUGAUUAAGUGUUAAUUGCAAUCAAGUUAGCAAAUAAUUAAACCUAGACACCUAUGGGUUUCUUAGACCUAACAGUUUGAUAUAGAGUGGCUUAGCCUAAAUACAAAAUGGACUUGUUCUCACUUCCUUUAACUAGCC